rnacentral:rRNA from 1 species
ACCAGACUCCUACGGGAGGCAGCAGUGGGGGAUAUUGCACAAUGGGGGGAACCCUGAUGCAGCGACGCCGCGUGGGUGAAGAAGCGCCUCGGCGCGUAAAGCCCUGUCAGCAGGGAAGAAAAUGACGGUACCUGAAGAAGAAGCCCCGGCUAACUACGUGCCAGCAGCCGCGGUAAUACGUAGGGGGCAAGCGUUAUCCGGAUUUACUGGGUGUAAAGGGGGCGCAGACGGCGAUGCAAGCCAGGAGUGAAAGCCCGGGGCCCAGCCCCGGGACUGCUCUUGGAACUGCGUGGCUGGAGUGCAGGAGGGGCAGGCGGAAUUCCUGGUGUAGCGGUGAAAUGCGUAGAUAUCAGGAGGAACACCGGCGGCGAAGGCGGCCUGCUGGACUGCAACUGACGUUGAGGCCCGAAAGCGUGGGGAGCAAACAGGAUUAGAUACCCGUGUACA